AUUGAACGCUGGCGGCAGGCCUAACACAUGCAAGUCGAGCGGAUGAAGGGAGCUUGCUCCCUGAUUUAGCGGCGGACGGGUGAGUAAUGCCUAGGAAUCUGCCUGGUAGUGGGGGAUAACGUUCCGAAAGGAACGCUAAUACCGCAUACGUCCUACGGGAGAAAGCAGGGGACCUUCGGGCCUUGCGCUAUCAGAUGAGCCUAGGUCGGAUUAGCUAGUUGGUGAGGUAAUGGCUCACCAAGGCGACGAUCCGUAACUGGUCUGAGAGGAUGAUCAGUCACACUGGAACUGAGACACGGUCCAGACUCCUACGGGAGGCAGCAGUGGGGAAUAUUGGACAAUGGGCGAAAGCCUGAUCCAGCCAUGCCGCGUGUGUGAAGAAGGUCUUCGGAUUGUAAAGCACUUUAAGUUGGGAGGAAGGGCAGUAAGCUAAUACCUUGC
rnacentral:rRNA from 2 species